UACAGAGGAGCCAAGCGUUGUCCGGAUUGACUGGGCGUAAAGCGCACGCAGGCGGAUACGCGCGUGGGGUGUGAAAUCUGGCCGCUUAACGGCCAGGCGCCAUCCCAUACGGCGCGUCUGGAGUGAUGCAGAGGUCGAUGGAAUUGCCGGUGUAGUGGUGAAAUGCGUAGAUAUGCGGAGGAACACCGAUGGCGAAGGCAAUCCCCUGGGCCUGCACUGACGCUCAUGCACGAAAGCGUGGGGAGCAAACAGG
rnacentral:rRNA from 1 species